rnacentral:rRNA from 1 species
CACGUAGGGGGCGAGCGUUGUCCGGAUUUAUUGGGCGUAAAGAGCUCGUAGGUGGCUCGGUAAGUCGGGUGUGAAAUUUCGAGGCUCAACCUCGAAACGCCACCUGAUACUGCUGUGGCUUGAGUCCGGUAGGGGAGCGUGGAAUUCCUGGUGUAGCGGUGAAAUGCGCAGAUAUCAGGAGGAACACCAGCGGCGAAGGCGGCGCUCUGGGCCGGUACUGACACUGAGACGCGAAAGCGUGGGGAGCGAACAGG